CCUGCCUGCGGAUACAACAAUCGAUUUUUAAUUGGAAUACUACCCUGUUCGUGGAUACGUUCAAGCUUUGCUCCUGCUUUGCUUUAUUGCCCGUGAGGAUAUGACGUUGCUGUUGCUUCGUUUAUGGCUUCCAUGGGGAAUAAUUAAUAACCUGCUGACUUGUGUUCUUCCUGAGGAGUGUGCGAGACUGUUCUCCGGCGUGGGGUUCGUGCCUCACCACAGACGGCUGUUCCCUUGGGAUCGCAUCCGGUUCUGUUGUCGAGAUUCUUCAUAACUUGGCUGGCCCCUGGGCACAAUAACACCGUGUAGAAAAACCAAGGUCGGGUUGUUCCUCAGACUGUUUACAUUCCAGGAGAAGAGUCCGAAGGAGAAGAAGAAGCUUUACCUAAUCAAAGUACUUUAUUUGUGAUUAAAAUUAUUAAGCAAAACAGAUGUUGAUCAACAAUAAUCAAGUGAAUGAUCUGUGAAAUAAAUAUGUCAUGAAUUAUGUUUAAUGAAACCAGGACUACGGUUCAGACAUACUGAUCCUCAUCUCCAUAGAAACGCAUGACACAUUGUUCCAACCAAUCAGAGCUUUCGGCUGCCGCAGGAGAAUCUGGUGUUGACUUCAAGUGUCCAAUCUACUUUACUGAAACUUAUCAACAAGUCAGAGAUAUAAAACAAGGCAACGCCAUUUUAAGUCAGUUCCAUUUUGACUUCAGUUCUGUUCACCAUCAUCCUAAAGACAAGCGCAGCCUGGCCGGAUGCGUUUUCUUUAAACUAAGAACUGUGAAACGGGAGAUUUUCGUCGUUUAACAACCAGACGACGUCCUUUCAAAAUAAGAGCACCUGCUGACGCCGCUGAACGGUACCGGGGUCAACCCUCCAGACGGGCUUUGAAACGUUGUGAUCGCUGCACCGACAGCUCCACCGUACAUCCGAGGUUUCCAGACCUGGCAAUUCCUGAUCUACUUGGGAGACCCCACUGGGUACGUACACGGCAAAAUAGCGGCUCAUGUCAUCACUUUAUAAGCCUCGUGAUACCUAGUCAUAACAAAGACGACCAGAUUCGAUUACGUCAUCCUAGAGAAUCAGAACCAGACACACGCACUCACACACACGCACCAACACAACAUCCGAAUCCAUUCUCAUCCAUCACAGAGUAGUCCUGGUAGAUUGUUUAGAAUUUAUAAUUCAGAAAUUAAAGAUUCUCAAACGAUA